rnacentral:rRNA from 1 species
GACAAACGCUGGCGGCGUGCUUAACACAUGCAAGUCGAACGGUGAAGGUGGGAGCUUGCUCCUGCUGGAUCAGUGGCGAACGGGUGAGUAACACGUGAGUAACCUGCCCUUGACUCUGGGAUAAGCGUUGGAAACGACGUCUAAUACCGGAUACGAGCUUCAGCCGCAUGGCUAGGAGUUGGAAAGAUUUUUCGGUCAAGGAUGGACUCGCGGCCUAUCAGCUUGUUGGUGAGGUAAUGGCUCACCAAGGCGACGACGGGUAGCCGGCCUGAGAGGGUGACCGGCCACACUGGGACUGAGACACGGCCCAGACUCCUACGGGAGGCAGCAGUGGGGAAUAUUGCACAAUGGGCGCAGGCCUGAUGCAGCAACGCCGCGUGAGGGACGACGGCCUUCGGGUUGUAAACCUCUUUUAGCAGGGAAGAAGCGCAAGUGACGGUACCUGCAGAAAAAGCACCGGCUAACUACGUGCCAGCCGCCGCGGUAA